rnacentral:rRNA from 1 species
UACGAAGGGGGCUAGCGUUGCUCGGAAUCACUGGGCGUAAAGCGCACGUAGGCGGCUUUUUAAGUCAGGGGUGAAAUCCUGGAGCUCAACUCCAGAACUGCCUUUGAUACUGAGAAGCUUGAGUCCGGGAGAGGUGAGUGGAACUGCGAGUGUAGCGGUGAAAUGCGUAGAUAUCGGAAGGAACACCAGUGGCGAAAGCGGCUUCCUGGUCCAGCACCGACGGUCAGGCACGAAAGCGUGGGGAGCAAACAGG